AUUAGAAACAAAAAUGCCUGAAAAUUGCAGUCAUCGAUGAAACAGCUGUGAGAUUCCAGCGAAGGAAUUUUAUUUGUCGCCCGAGUCGCAAUGUGUUUCAAUAAGCUGUUCCUAAUCAACAAAUUCGCCAAACUCUCGCCCGUCAUAAAGGUCAAAUGUCAGCACAGACAAGUGUAAGAAACUAAACCCGAAAAUCAAAUUCAAAUCAAAGAAAGUGAAAAAGAGCUUAAAGCCGUAAAUAAUACAAAGUGGCCCUCAAAAAUCAAGCUCACACAACGCUCCUCCCAAAAAAAAAAAAUUUGAAAAUAAAAAAAUUAAAACCUACUAUAUUUUUCUAGAGGUGUUUAAAGAAAGCAAACCAAUUCUCCGGAAGAAGAUAAACAAAAACAUUGAAAAUAAAAUUACUGCUCAGGUUUAUAAUAAAAAUAAAAACUAAACAAAACGUCAACUUCAGCGUUGUGUUUCAUGUGCAAAAUAUUAAGAAAUAUCUAUAUAAAUAAAGGUAUAUAUUUUUGGAAAAGAUUACUAAAACAACGUAUUAUUAAUUCUUGUAACUAGUAUAAAGAGAGUUAAACUAGUGUAAGCAGUGCAUAUAAUAACAAUUUAAAGGUUUAAACUUUAUACACACUUAAUACGAUCAUCAAAUAUAUAUUCUUAUACAUAUUAUUCAACGAUUUUAAUCAAUCAAUACAUCAAUCAAUCCAACAAUCAAUUCAAUUCAAGUGAGUUUUGCUACUUCAAAGGAAUACCUACAAAACAUACUCAGAAGCUGCGCUGUGGAUCGGGCAGGAUAUUAAUUAUCAAACAGAAAACCAUCAAGUAUUACUAGCUACUAAAACUAACUCAUAUAACUAUCUCUCGGCCCAAGUUCAUUAU